ensembl:snoRNA
AAGCAACACUCUGUGACAGAUUAUCAAAAUAGUCUGUCACAAUUUGAGCUUGCUAUAGCAAGAAAGUCUAACCUAUUCCGGCACUCUCCUUUCUGUGAGACAAGCCGUUACAUAGACUGAAACAAG